GACGAACGCUGGCGGCGUGCUUAACACAUGCAAGCGGUGCGACGAACCGGGCUUCGGCCCGGGGCGAAGCCGCGAACGGGUGAGUAACACGUGGGCAAUCUGCCCCGUCGAUCGGGACAACCCGGGGAAACCCGGGCUAAUACCGAAUGUGGUGCCGGCUCAUGAGAGCCGGUACGAAAGGAAGCUUCGGCCUCCGCGACGGGAUGAGCCCGCGGCCCAUUAGCUUGUUGGUGGGGUAACGGCCUACCAAGGCAACGAUGGGUAGCUGGUCUGAGAGGACGAUCAGCCACACUGGGACUGAGACACGGUCCAGACUCCUACGGGAGGCUGCAGUGGGGAAUCUUGCGCAAUGAGCGACAGCUUGACGCAGCAACGCCGCGUGGGGGAAGAAGGCUUUCGGGUCGUAAAGUUCUGUUGUAAGGGAAGAACAAGUGCCGCAGGCAAUGGCGGCACCUUGACGGUACCUUGCGAGAAAGCCACGGCUAACUACGUGCCAGCCGCCGCGGUAA
rnacentral:rRNA from 1 species